GACGAACGCUGGCGGCGUGCUUAACACAUGCAAGUCGAACGGUGACGCUCCAGCUUGCUGGAGUGGAUCAGUGGCGAACGGGUGAGUAACACGUGAGCAACCUGCCCCUGACUCUGGAAUAAGCGCUGGAAACGGCGUCUACGCUAGUACCGCAUACGGCCCACGGGUGAAACUUGCGGAAAUUUUUUCGGUGGGGGAUUGGCUGCGGGGCUAUCGGCUUGGUUGGUAGGGAAGGGCUCACCCAGGCCACGACCGGUUGCCGGCCUGGGAGGGCGGCCGGCCACACUGGGACUGAGGCACGGCCCAGACUGCUACGGGGGGCAGCAGUGGGGAAUAUUGCCCAGUCGGCCCGCGCCUGAUGCAGCGGCGCCGCGUUAGGGAUGACGGCCUUCGGGUUGUAAACCUCUUUCAGCAGGGAAGAAGCUAAAGUGACGGUACCUGAAGAAGAAGCACCGGCUAACUUCGUG
rnacentral:rRNA from 1 species